UGAGAGAGGUUGAAAAGCCUGGUUCAAAACUUCACAAGAAGGAGACAUGUGAAGCAGUUACUAUCAUUGAGACACCACCCAUUGUUGGCGCUGGUGCUCUCGACUACUCUCUGACAUGCAGGCUUUCAAGGGUGGUUUUUGGAUCAAAUUGGCUAAGACUUGGACAAAAUAGUGGAAGAACAUGACCUAUCAUACCAGAUGGCUCAACUAAGUUGAGGAAUACCAGAUUGUCAGCAUUUACAUCCAUUUCUUCAUCUUCAUUUCUUGAAGCAUCAGAGGUUUCUUGAAGCUUUAAGGUUGUAUGGUCGUGGUUGGCGCCAAAUAGAAGAGCAUGUAGGCACUAAAUUUGCAGUUCAAAUUCGAAGCCAUGCUCAAAAGUUUUUCUCUAAUGCUCAUUGCUUUGAGUUCAUUACAAGAUUUCCUUGAUUAAGUAGAUGUAUUAUAUCUUUUAUUACCAAGAUUUACUUGAUUAAGAAAAUGCAUUGUAUUUUUUAUUA